UCCCCAGUGGCCAAGUCGGCAAGGCACUGUGCUUAUAUUUUCAGAAUAUACCAAAGACACGCAGCAAUCCCGAGUUCGAUCCUCGGCUGGGGAA
rnacentral:tRNA from 3 species